rnacentral:miRNA from 1 species
GUGAGCAAAGAUUCAGGUGUGUUG